AUUCCAGCUCCAAUAGCGUAUAUUAAAGUUGUUGCAGUUAAAAAGCUCGUAGUUGGAUUUCUGGCAGGAGCGACCGGUCCGCCGCAAGGUGUGCACUAGGUUGUCUCCAGUCAUCUUUGUGGGAACUGCUCUGGCAUUAGGUUGUCGGGGUUAGGGAACACAUCGUUUACUGUGAAAAAAUUAGAGUGUUUAAAGCAGGCUUAUGCCGUUGAAUACAUUAGCAUGGAAUAAUAAGAUAGGACUUUGGCGUCUAUUUUGUUGGUUUGCACACCAAGGUAAUGAUUAAUAGGGAUAGUUGGGGGUAUUCGUAUUUAAUUGUCAGAGGUGAAAUUCUUGGAUUUAUGAAAGACGAACUUCUGCGAAAGCAUUUACCAAAGAUGUUUUCAUCA
rnacentral:rRNA from 1 species